CGGCCGCAGUAUCCUGACUGUGCUAAGGUAGCAUAAUAAUUUGUCAUUUAAUUAGUGACUAGAAUGAAGAAGAUACGUAGUGAAACUGUCUUACUUUUAUUAAUAUAAAUUUACUUUAUAGGUGCAAAGGCCUAUUUUAAGAAAUUAGACGAGAAGACCCUUAGAACUUUUAGAAUACAGUAAUAUAGUCUUUUUGCUGGGGCGGCAUUGGAUCAGUAUAACAUCCUUUAAAACUAGUCUUUUAUGAGUAAGUUACCUAAGGGAUAACAGCAUAGUAAUAUGACCUCGAUGUUGGACUAGGAAAUUUUAUAGUCAGACGCUAAUAAAAUUGGU
rnacentral:rRNA from 1 species